rnacentral:rRNA from 1 species
CCUACGGGAGGCAGCAGUGAGGAAUAUUGGUCAAUGGACGAGAGUCUGAACCAGCCAAGUAGCGUGAAGGAUGACUGCCCUAUGGGUUGUAAACUUCUUUUAUAUGGGAAUAAAAUGUUCCACGUGUGGGAUUUUGUAUGUACCAUAUGAAUAAGGAUCGGCUAACUCCGUGCCAGCAGCCGCGGUAAUACGGAGGAUCCGAGCGUUAUCCGGAUUUAUUGGGUUUAAAGGGAGCGUAGGUGGAUUGUUAAGUCAGUUGUGAAAGUUUGCGGCUCAACCGUAAAAUUGCAGUUGAAACUGGCAGUCUUGAGUACAGUAGAGGUGGGCGGAAUUCGUGGUGUAGCGGUGAAAUGCUUAGAUAUCACGAAGAACUCCGAUUGCGAAGGCAGUUCACUGGACUGCAACUGACACUGAGGCUCGAAAGUGUGGGUAUCAAACAGGAUUAGAUACCCCAGUAGCC